CCUACGGGAGGCUGCAGUGGGGAAUAUUGCACAAUGGGCGCAAGCCUGAUGCAGCCAUGCCGCGUGUGUGAAGAAGGCCUUCGGGUUGUAAAGCACUUUCAGCGGGGCGGAAGGCGUUAAGGUUAAUAACCUUGGCGAUUGACGUUACCCGCAGAAGAAGCACCGGCUAACUCCGUGCCAGCAGCCGCGGUAAUACGGAGGGUGCAAGCGUUAAUCGGAAUUACUGGGCGUAAAGCGCACGCAGGCGGUCUGUCAAGUCGGAUGUGAAAUCCCCGGGCUCAACCUGGGAACUGCAUUCGAAACUGGCAGGCUAGAGUCUUGUAGAGGGGGGUAGAAUUCCAGGUGUAGCGGUGAAAUGCGUAGAGAUCUGGAGGAAUACCGGUGGUGAAGGCGGCCCCCUGGACAAAGACUGACGCUCAGGUGCGAAAGCGUGGGGAGCAAACAGGAUUAGAUACCCUAGUAGUC
rnacentral:rRNA from 1 species